UCUGGGAUUAAUCUCAGUUUAUACACUUGCUCCUGGUCAGCCAGGUGCUUUGGAUUCUAGAUAUAUCAGGCUGGUCUGUCAGACAGCUUCAGGCUCCCUGGGAUCUUCAUCUUUUAAAUCUUUGCAGAAAUAUUUCUGCACUUGUACCACAACAGAAGAUUCCCAGCUGCAGCGGUGGCUCCAACAACACUGCACUGGCAGCUCCCAGGCAGAGAGCUCAGAAGUGACUGUCCUUCCCCGUGGUACAUCCACCAGCUGAGGAGCCCUGGAGUAGUUGGCAGGAACUUCUUCUGAUCAUUGCCUUUGUGACUUUUAGAAAAUGCAGCCUCUGAAUCCCAAAGGAUGAAUUCUGUUUACUCUGAAAAAUGGAUGGAAAUGCUGCUCUUAUUCAAGAUUGCUAUUUAAAAAAAAAAUAAUAAUAAUUUUCAGUAAUACUUUGAGAGAAAACCUAUAAAACUCAGGGAUUUAAAACAAACCAAAGGUGAUGUUUUAAUGCUCUGUGUGUCUGGAUGCAGUUCAGUCUUCCUUAUGAUCUUGGGCACAUCUUUUAAUUUCCCAGUAUCUCUGGACUGAUAAAUAGAAAGUCCUUCAGGUUCAAGACUGUCUCUGUGCAUUUUGUACUGAACCUGCCUUCAGGCAAAAGGGAGAGAAUGAACAGAGAAUCGCAAUGUUCCUGUGACUGGUAAAGUGCCUCUUCUGCCAAACUGAUGUGCACGGUGCCCGCCUGCGGUGCCACGUUCUACCUGCAUGCACUGAGGUUUUCCUUUCCUGUUCAACUUGCUGCAACCCAUGCUGAAGGAAAAUCCACUUACAGAUUGUUUUCAGUGUUAAAAUGCUACUGCGUGAUAUGUAGGAAGAGACUGGGAAAAGUCACUCUUGUUUCAGGCUUGUAUGAUUUCUUUGGUGCAAAGGUGAGAGGAAGAAAAAAGGAGUUUAUCAGACAGGUCAAUAUACCAGGAAAUUGUUUAGGGCAGAAUAUACUGGCAAGAAACUAAUGGAUGCUACUGAUGAAGAAUAAUUCUCUCAUGAAAAAUGAUGUUUCAUAAUAGUGGAACAUCAUUAGUGUUUCAAGAACACUGUUGGACUCAAAAUUUUAAUUUGUAUCCCUACAAAGAUGUAGGUAUGUAACAUCAUAUCAUAUUGAACCUCGUAUUACUUUUAAGCUAGUUUCUGUACUUAA